CGUUUAUACGUACUGUUGCCUCGGCGCAGUGCCGGCUUUGAGCAUAUAAGCCCCCUGGACGGGAGAAGCCCGCCGGCGGCCAAGUAAACUCUUGUUUCUAUAGUGGAUCUCUGAGUAAAAAACAUAAAUGAAUCAAAACUUUCAACAACGGAUCUCUUGGUUCUGGCAUCAGAUGAAGAACGCAGCGAAAUGCGAUAAGUAAUGUGAAUUGCAGAAUUCAGUGAAUCAUCGAAUCUUUGAACGCACGAUUGCGCCCCCUGGUAUUCCGGGGGGCAUGCCUGUUCGAGCGUCAUUUCAACCCUCAAGCCUGGCUUGGUGAUGGGGCACUACUUCCUCACGGGAGUAGGCCCUGAAAUUCAGUGGCGAGCUCGCCAGGACCCCGAGCGUAGUAGUUAUAUCUCGCUUUGGAAGGCCCUGGCGGUGCCCUGCCGUUAAACCCCCAACUUCUGAACAAUUUGACCUCGGAUCAGGUAGGAAUA
rnacentral:misc_RNA from 1 species